CGGGUGAGUAACACGUGGGUGAUCUGCCCUGCACUUUGGGAUAAGCCUGGGAAACUGGGUCUAAUACCGGAUAGGACCAUGGGAUGCAUGUUCUGUGGUGGAAAGCUUUUGCGGUGUGGGAUGGGCCCGCGGCCUAUCAGCUUGUUGGUGGGGUGAUGGCCUACCAAGGCGACGACGGGUAGCCGGCCUGAGAGGGUGUCCGGCCACACUGGGACUGAGAUACGGCCCAG
rnacentral:rRNA from 1 species